rnacentral:rRNA from 1 species
UACGGGGGGGGCAAGCGUUGUUCGGAAUUACUGGGCGUAAAGGGCUCGUAGGCGGCCAACUAAGUCAGACGUGAAAUCCCUCGGCUUAACCGGGGAACUGCGUCUGAUACUGGAUGGCUAGAGAUUGGGAGAGGGAUGCGGAAUUCCAGGUGUAGCGGUGAAAUGCGUAGAUAUCUGGAGGAACACCGGUGGCGAAGGCGGCAUCCUGGACCAACACUGACGCUGAGGCGCGAAAGCGUGGGGAGCAAACGGG